AUGACAUUUUAUCAGAUCAAAAUUGCACAUCAUUUUGAAAUCUGAGGACUGAUGCGUAACCAGAGACUUGGAUCUGAGCAGGAUUAAAAGCAAAACAAACAGUUGGGUGCCAUCUUACAGUGAGUUCAUUGCUACAAAAGAACAAAUGUGAAUCCUGAGCCCACAUGAAGCCAUGCCAACUUCGCUGGGACUCAACAUGGAGUGAAAUGUUUAUCCGCACAAAAUGAUCUUCAAGACUCGAGUCUUUGCAUGCAAUUCUUCUAUACAUACACCCUCAAAACUUUGUUCAGCUGAAGAAAUGGUACAACUGAACGUAUAAAGCGCUCAGACUAUCUGCUGCAAAAAUUUGUCCCAACCAUUCCACUCUGACCUCUUGACAUCAAAGGAUUGCUUCUAUACUUUUGAAGAUAAAAACAGAGCUGUGUUUCUGCUCUGGUCAACAAAUCAUUGUUUAAGUUCCUUUGACAGAAAAUUUUUACCUGUUGGGAAAUAAUGGUGCUAGCAGCAAAAUGCCUUUUCUUUAUAUGGGCAGGCACUCCUCAAUCUUGAGGAGGUAUCUCUAGACCGCUGCCGUGAAUCCUAUAUGCUUUCUUCAGAAAGAAAACAAAAACUCAAAUACAUACACACUUACUAUAUAGACUGAAUGCCCUGCGUAACAAGACCUAAAACUAAUUUGAUGAGGCAUUUUAACUUUUGCAGGAAUAUUAAAGGAAAGAGAAAUUAAGACGGAUUUAAAAAAAAAAAAAAACAUAAAUGUAAAUAUUUCCUGGUAAGUUAAUAUUUCCUGAGGAGGAAGAUGAUGAAAAGGAAGAAAAUUUGCUGCAAACAAAUAGGAAAUGUCCAUUUAAAAACAAAUCUCAACUGGCUUACAGCCAAAUUUUGUGACUCGGGCAAAAAUUCUUUUUUGUGACGUUUUUGUUUCAUUAGAGAAGCAAGUUUGUAUCUCUGAUUUUUUACUUUCAAGUUCUAUUUUCAAAUAAUUCACAUGUACCUAAUGAUGAUUUACCAUGUAACAGUAUUUGCUGAAUUUUAAGAAUAAUGGUGUAUUCCGUACACUUUUUAAAAUAUAUGAAAAUAAUAUAUUCAGCAAAAUGUUCAAUGGAGUCUUUGAUUUCUCCUUUCAGCUGCACACCUGAUCAUGUUACUGUUCAAAUCAUAGCUAUAAAAUCUUCUAAAAUCCAGUCUCCUCAACUCUUGUUUGCAAAGAAGCUGUAAAAAAAAAAUCACAAAAGUCUGAAGUCUAAAAAUAAAGAUCCACUUUAUCCCACUAUUCUUAGCUGCAUUCAGUAAAAAUCUUAGUCACAGUUUGGUCUUGAACCAUUGAAAUCAGUGAUGAAGUCAAAAUUAUGCUCUUGACAGAAACAGAAGUAGGCCUGUACCUUUGUGUCCGUGUGAGGAAGGAUAAAAGGAAUUUGGCCAUUUUAUUAUACGACUCAUCAGAGGAUCAUCUGUAUAAACUGCACUGGUAAUCACACAGUCAUGUGAAUUUUCCCAUUUAAGACUUAGCAGUGAAAGUGAGCACCUACAUGAGGAAAGUUCAACUUUUAACAGCUGUUGAGAGUUGUGGUUCAGUAAAUAUUGCAUGCCUUGACUCGUGUCUUUUAUUUUAACUGUGCUUUCUUCAGCCCUUAUACUUCUCCUUUAUAGGGCAGCAAACUCUAUGGAGACGUUACUAUUCUUAAUUUAUUGCUUAUUGAGAAUUUGUAUUCUAGCAAUAUCAUUUUCUUUCUUAUAAUACCAGUAUUUCCUCCUUCAGCCUCUUAAAUUGUCUUUCCCCCUAUUAUAAUUUUUUAUUGUUUAAUCCUAUAGCAUACUGAGCAUUUGGAGCUCAUAUGGACCUGUGCAUAUCAGGAAUGAUCCUUUUGAAAUUAAAUUGCUAUAAACCAUACUGAUAAGAAGAUCAAUACCCAGAUCAGAGCAGUUGCAAUGCAAAAUAGGAGCCCAGUCCUGCUUCCUCUGCCUAUUUCAGUAGCCAGGGUGGAUACCAUAGGGAGCUGUAAAUUGUCAGAUCUGGUCCUAAAAUGCAUGUGCUUUGUGUCAUGAUUUUAUGCCAGUGUAUCUUGGAAAAAA